GACGAACGCUGGCGGCGUGCUUAACAAAUGCAAGUCGAGCGGAGCGGCGAACGGGUGAGUAACGCGUGAGUAACUGCCCCCCCCUCUAGGAUAACAGUUGGAACGGGUUGUUAAUACCGGAAUGUGGGGGAUGCCUGGCGUCCUAUCAGUUUUUUGGUGGGGUAGUGGCCUACCAAGGCGACGACGGGUAGCCGGCCUGAGAGGGCGACCGGCCACAUUGGGCUGAGAUACGGCCCAAACUCCUACGGGAGGCAGCAGUGGGGAAUAUUGCACAAUGGGGGAAACCCUGAUGCAGCAACGCGCGUGCGGGAUGACGGCCUUCGGGUUGUAAACCGCUUUCAGCCAUGACGCGGUAGUGGCAGAAGAAGCACCGGCUAACUACGUGCCAGCAGCCGCGGUAAUUC
rnacentral:rRNA from 1 species